CGCACAUUGCGCCCUCUGGUAUUCCGGAGGGCAUACCUGUUUGAGCGUCAUUUCUUUCUCAAACUUUAUGUUUGGUGUUGGCCCAGUACAGUUUUAACUGUACGGGUUGAAAUACAUUGGCUAAGCAUUUCAGUUCAGUAUUUACAACGUAUUAGGUUUUACCAACUCGUUGGGCUUACAGACUGAUCUAACGCUGGGCGAUAGAACAGAAAUUAUAAAAUUUGACCUCAAAUCAGGCAGGACUACCCGCUGAACUUAA
rnacentral:misc_RNA from 1 species